rnacentral:lncRNA from 1 species
CAACUACAUAACACAAAUGAAAUAAUGUUGCCAAUAAACAACUGAUUAUAUCCCUUGUAACUAAGGAAGUGCUCUCUACUUACUCUUCAACCUCUGAUGACGUGCUUAAAGUUACAGGAUGACAUCAUUGAUUAAUUUCAUUAUAGAUUAGUUUUGGUGAGUACAAAUUACUCCGUAAUUUUAUUCUAUGUCAACUUUGUAACGGC